ACGUAGGGAGCAAGCGUUGUCCGGAAUUACUGGGCGUAAAGGGUGCGUAGGCGGCUUAUUAAGUUAUUAGUGAAAUACCCGGGCUUAACCUGGGGGGUGCUAGUAAAACUGAUAGGCUUGAGUUCGGGAGAGGAAAGUGGAAUUCCUAGUGUAGCGGUGGAAUGCGUAGAUAUUAGGAGGAACACCAGUGGCGAAGGCGACUUUCUGGACCGACACUGACGCUGAGGCACGAAAGCGUGGGGAGCAAACAG
rnacentral:rRNA from 1 species